rnacentral:lncRNA from 1 species
GGACCUCUCUCGGAUUCACUAUCUAGAACAAGAAAAAAGAGGAUACAAGGUCUUAAUACACCAAAACAGCCAGCCAACAACAAGUUUAGCAACACAAGAUGAAGCUCCACAAUAUUACAAUAGCAACAAGAACAAACAGGUUACAUUAACAACACAAGAAGCCGAAACUAAAACAAGAUACAAGAUAGGUAGUUAGACAAGUGUUGAUGUAGUCUUAACAACCCAAGAGCAUAUUCCACUCUUGGACCUUUAAAACUUCACACAACAAACACCUAACUCUUACAAUUGACACAAGAGAGGCGUCCACCACCCAAGCACCAACGUAUCAAGCAAAAUGCAACACACAAGAGAAUCCACCCUUAUGUUAUGCCCUAGUUUCAAUUGGACUCUCUCUCACUCUAAGAGAAGUAUUCUUCAAUAAUAAUGAUCAACUAAAGAAAUAAACCCUACAAUGUUCUAUUUAUACUACAUUACAAUAAUAGACAAAAUGACAAAAGGGCCCUUUAGUGACUAGUNNNNNNNNNNNNNNNNNNNNNNNUUCCUCGCCUUGCAUUUUAACCUCUUUUUGCUCUCCAUCUUGAGGCUUGCCAUCAACCUUAGCCGAUUCAAUUACUACUUCUUCCCCAAGAUAGUACAAUUUUCCCUCCCUUAGGAUCACGUUCCUCCGGUUUGGGCACUCACUAGCCUUAUGCCCCCACCCUUUGCAUUUGAAGCAUUGAAAUCCCUUAAGAUUGGAAGUAGAAUUCAAUUUACCUUCAUACCUUGGAGGAUGUUUUUGAACAACCUUGGUGGCCUCGGUUUGGGUAGCUAUAAAUGAGUUAUCUUUGAGCUCCCUCUCAACCUCUAAAGCCGCAUGGAAGAUGCCAUCUAUGGUGUCGAAUCUCUGAAGCGUCAUGCGAGUGGAGAUGUCCUCGUUUAAUCCAACCUUGAAGCACACAAUGUCAUGACUUACUUGCUCGCCUCGGUGGUCAAGUUUCAAUAUCAAUGUUGAAAUUCAUCGUAGUAAGCCAUAGCACUCUUGUUCCCUUGCCUCAAAUUAUACAAUUUAGCAAGGAGCUCAUGCCUAUAAGUCUCAGGCAAGUACCUUUGUCGCAUAAGGUUCUUCAAUCGAAACCCAGGAGAAGGUUGUCCCCCAAUCAUCUCAUUCCCAAACCGUUUAACAUACUCUCACCAUGUAUUAGCAUACCUUUCGAAGUGAGCUAUAGCAUAAUAACUUUUUGUUUAUUCAGUGAGAUCAUAAAGUUGGAAGAUCUUGUCAUAAGAUGACUCCCAUGUAAGGUAGGCUUCGGGAUCACUCUCACCUUUGAAAACGGGAAGGCUCACUUUGAUGGAAUUGAGCCCUACAUCUCAAUUUGGGUGGCCAUCUCUCACCUCUCGGCCUAACUCCCCGUGUCUACUCGUCAUUCUUUCUUCCCUCAAGUAAACAUCAUCAUACGACCCAUAAACAUCAUGUUGUCCUCCCCUACCAUAGCCCUCAACAUGGAUGGGCCUAUUUGGGUUAAGUGGAGCUUUUAGUGGCGGGAUUGGAUUUGAAUAGUGAGGUCUUUGGUCAAGUGGAGUUUGGAUGGGAGGGUUCGGAUUUGGUGAUGGUAUUUGGGUUCCAAGCCCUUCUUGUUGGACUUGGUGGAGUGGAGGAUGGCUUGGUCUAUCUUGUUCUCGGCUUCGGGAGUAAAAAUUGAUUUAAUUUAUGGCAAUUGAUGUAUAUUGCAUUUGGAGCAAGGUCUUAGGAGUAUUAGUUGGGGAAAUGUCUUGAGGGGUAGAAGGUCGACUCCUUUGGCUUUCCACAUGUUCUAAUCUCUCACUCAUUGAUGCCACAUCCAUAUCUAAUUUUUCAAGAUCCACAUUCAACCUAGCCACAUCUCGGGACAUAGUUUCAAGGCGAGCCAAAAUGAGAUUGAUGGCAUUAUUAUCCAUUGUUUGAGAAUUUGAAGCCUUGGGUUCCAUUGUGGUGGUAUUGAAAAUAACCCUUCAAGUUAUGGUCCAAUCAAGAUACCAAAUCAGUCUGCAACGUUACACAAAACAAUACAAUGCAAAACCUACAACACAAAACACACGUUAUUUCAAAACAACCUCCCACAAUGAGAUCCCACUUCAAGUUUCUUCAAACUCAAGCUCAACAUUGGUGGAUGGCUCAAAUAACCUCCAAUUUAGCUAAAAUUCGAACCCUAUACUCCUAUAGUGUUAGAGAACACAAAUCUAACACUAAAAACACAAGAAAAAUGCAAAAUCAAAAACUCAAAAUUUGACCUAGGGUCAAAAACGAGUUUAGUAUAUUUUUGGGGGAUUUUCGAUUUUGACACUUCUUUUUUUGUUGGGAUUUUCAAUUUCUAUACUCUAAUAGUGUUAGGGAACAAGAUCUAACAUUAGAAACAUACAAAAAAAAUCAAGUUUUUUAAAAGACCCUAAAAACGUGAACAAUAACUUUUUUUUUUUAAGAUAACAAUCCCAAGAUUGAUUUUGUUGGAACAAAAUCAAACCUUGCUUUGAUACCAAAUGAUACGGAACAAACAAGGGAACACGAAAUCACACUCAAAACAGUCCACAAAUCACAACAAAUCGUGGACCAAAUGGGGACCUCUUUCGAAUUCACUAUCUAGAACAAGAAAGAAGAGGAUAGAAGGUGUUAAUAAACCAAAACAGCCAGCCAACAACAAGUUUAGCAACACAAGAUGAAGCUCCACAAUAUUACAAUAGCAACAAGAACAAACGGGUUACAUUAACAACACAAGAAGCCGAAACUAAAACAAGAUACAAGAUAGGUAGUUAGACAAGUGUUGAUGUAGUCUUAACAACUCAAGAGCAUAUUCCACUCUUGGACCUUUAAAACUUCACACAACAAACACCUAACUCUUACAAUUGACACAAGAGAGACGUCCACCAC